rnacentral:rRNA from 1 species
CGGUAAGGCCCCUUCGGGGGUACACGAGUGGCGAACGGGUGAGUAACACGUGGGUAAUCUGCCCUGCACUUUGGGAUAAGCCUGGGAAACUGGGUCUAAUACCGAAUAUGACCUCGGGAUGCAUGUCCUGUGGUGGAAAGCUUUUGCGGUGUGGGAUGGGCCCGCGGCCUAUCAGCUAGUUGGUGGGGUGAUGGCCUACCAAGGCGACGACGGGUAGCCGGCCUGAGAGGGUGUCCGGCCACACUGGGACUGAGAUACGGCCCAGACUCCUACGGGAGGCAGCAGUGGGGAAUAUUGCACAAUGGGCGCAAGCCUGAUGCAGCGACGCCGCGUGGGGGAUGACGGCCUUCGGGUUGUAAACCUCUUUCACCAUCGACGAAGAUUCGGGUUUUCUCGGAUUGACGGUAGGUGGAGAAGAAGCACCGGCCAACUACGUGCCAGCAGCCGCGGUAAUACGUAGGGUGCGAGCGUUGUCCGGAAUUACUGGGCGUAAAGAGCUCGUAGGUGGUUUGUCGCGUUGUUCGUGAAAUCUCACGGCUUAACUGUGAGCGUGCGGGCGAUACGGGCAGACUGGAGUACUGCAGGGGAGACUGGAAUUCCUGGUGUAGCGGUGGAAUGCGCAGAUAUCAGGAGGAACACCGGUGGCGAAGGCGGGUCUCUGGGCAGUAACUGACGCUGAGGAGCGA